rnacentral:rRNA from 1 species
CAAAUAUAAAUUAAUAUUUAAUAGUCCGGAUUGUUAAAUUAAUUAUAUAAGGUGGUGGCACAAAAUCGGAGGCCCCGACUGUUUACUAAAAACACAACACAGUGCAAUCAUUAAUAUGAUAGUAUACUGUGUGAAAUUUGCCCGAUGCCAUUAAUAUAAGAGCGGUUAUGGGGAACUGUGACUAAUCGAAAAUCUGGUUAAUAGCGGUCUUAACUAUGAGGAUCCUAAGGUAGCAAAAUCAGUUGGCCAUUAAAUGUGGUCCGGUAUCAAUAAUGUAACGAUGGCCUCACUGUCUCUACAACUUGCUCAGUGAAAUUGAAUUACACGUGCAGAUGCGUGUUGCCUCCAGGGGGACGGGAAGACCCUAUGCAGCU